rnacentral:rRNA from 1 species
AGCGAACGCUGGCGGCAGGCUUAACACAUGCAAGUCGAACGGGCGUAGCAAUACGUCAGUGGCAGACGGGUGAGUAACGCGUGGGAACGUACCUUUUGGUUCGGAACAACCCAGGGAAACUUGGGCUAAUACCGGAUAAGCCCUUACGGGGAAAGAUUUAUCGCCGAAAGAUCGGCCCGCGUCUGAUUAGCUAGUUGGUGAGGUAACGGCUCACCAAGGCGACGAUCAGUAGCUGGUCUGAGAGGAUGAUCAGCCACAUUGGGACUGAGACACGGCCCAAACUCCUACGGGAGGCAGCAGUGGGGAAUAUUGGACAAUGGGCGCAAGCCUGAUCCAGCCAUGCCGCGUGAGUGAUGAAGGCCCUAGGGUUGUAAAGCUCUUUUGUGCGGGAAGAUAAUGACGGUACCGCAAGAAUAAGCCCCGGCUAACUUCGUGCCAACAGCAGCCGCUGUAAG